CAAAACAUAAGUGAGUCAGUCUUUAAAUCUUUCACCAGAUAAUUUCUCUCUUAUAAUGUGCUCUUUCUAUCCACUAAUUUGACAGUAUGUUCUUUUAAAUGUAGGUAUCUGAUCGAUGUCUCUGGGUAAGUUCAUCUGGCUGAUGAAACAAAACAGCAAUAUCUAACGACAACGUCUGGCACAGGCCAGAUCAUCUGUCUCUAGUCUGUCUGCCAUUGUCCUUUCUCCUACUACGCAUCUAAGAGGAAAAAAUUCUGGUGAACAAUUUCUUCGUAUACCUUCGGAAUCAGUCAAGAGUGGAGGAGAGGAAGUAAAAGAUUCAUGGUGUAUUUGAGCUGAUUCAAGAACCUAUGAGAGGAAGGGGAGAAGGCAACAAAGGACAGAGACAGAAUUAAUUCAGGAAAAAGGAUAUUGAAACAAUCUAUAGAUGAAAAUACAGAACAUUGUCACAAGUUCAGAAAUAGCAAAUUUUCCACUGGAAAGUUGAUCAGCUUUAAAGUGAUGUUGAUGUACCCAAAGUAUCUAGCUUUCCACAAAGCUUUUCCUGUAGUUUUGAUCUGUAUGCAAAGCUUCUGAGAUAAUUGCAAGACAUAACAAACAAACUAAAUUGUACUGCUUAAUUUCAGCAAGUAAGGCAAAUUACUUAUUUAUUGCAACCUUUAUUGGGAGCUAAAACAAGCUGAAUACAUUCUGAAAUUUUAUGAAGUUUCUCUUA